rnacentral:rRNA from 1 species
UACGGAAGGCAGCAGGGGGAAUAUUGGACAAUGGGCGCAAGCCUGAUCCAGCCAUGCCGCGUGUGUGAAGAAGGCCUUCGGGUUGUAAAGCACUUUUGUCCGGAAAGAAAAGCUUAGGGUUAAUAACCUUGAGUCAUGACGGUACCGGAAGAAUAAGCACCGGCUAACUUCGUGCCAGCAGCCGCGGUAAUACGAAGGGUGCAAGCGUUACUCGGAAUUACUGGGCGUAAAGCGUGCGUAGGUGGUUUGUUAAGUCUGAUGUGAAAGCCCUGGGCUCAACCCGGGAAUGGCAUUGGAAACUGGCUUACUAGAGUGCGGUAGAGGGGUGUGGAAUUCCCGGUGUAGCAGUGAAAUGCGUAGAUAUCGGGAGGAACAUCUGUGGCGAAGGCGACACCCUGGACCAGCACUGACACUGAGGCACGAAAGCGUGGGGAGCGAAACAGGGAUUAGAUACC